CAGAAGGAAGAUGGGGCCCCACAACAACUCUGCCCAGUCCAGAAUGAUGCCAUGCACUGAUCUGAUCCCGGGAGAAUGUUGGGCUUCUGAGAAAUUUCCGUAUGGAAGCUUGUCUUCACCUUGGCACAAAAUGGCCUACUGGACAAAGAACUGCCCUUGCCUCAACUGCUGACAGUAAAAUGGUCUGACAGAUACUCUAGGCCUGUAGCCAAUUUGAAUGUACCAGCAAUGCUGAGAAACUUUAGGUGACUGUCCAGGCUGCCAGCUGUCUCUAUCUACUCUCACAGGACUCCCGAAAGUUGUUUGCAUCCUUCUCCAGUUUCUCAGACGGAGAGGAGUCCACGAUGGUGGAGCAGAAGCUGCUGGCUCACAGCCGGAACCACAGAGAGCAGAGAAAGCAAGCUGAGUGUGAUACAAAGAGUCUUUAAACUAUCAAACCCUGUGUCAGUAGCACACUUCCUCCAACGAGGCCACAACUCCCAAUCCUCCUCAACAGUGUGACUCACUGGGGAUGAAGUACUCAAAAGCAGAGACUUUGCGGGGGGGAUAUUCUCAAACUACACAGGACUUAUCCCUAUUGGAUUUUAAGACACCUUCUCCCUUGCACUAUCAAUCCACCUCGAUAACCCUAUAGGAUGGCAUUCUUUCAACUUCCAGGAAUAAGCACCUGUUGAUCUGUGCUGCAGGCUGGUGCUGGACCUUCUUUAUGUGUCCACCCAGGAUACAUUCAUAUCUCUCUCUCUCUCUCUCUCUCUCUCUCUCUCUCUCUCUCUCU